UAAAGUGGCAGGGAGUAUCAUGCGUGUCAGGUAAGAAAUUUAUGACCAAAUUUAUUGGGUUUAGAAAUAGGUUGGUAGAAUUGUCUUUAUUAUGUCCAACCAAUUCUCUCCAAUUAUGCGCCCCUCCCCAAUUCUACCUAUGCGGAAAUUCUCUCUCUCUCUACGGAACAAAUCUCUCUAUGCGCCCCUCCCCAAUUCUCUCUACGGAAAUUCUCUCUCUGCGGAACAAAUCUCUCUCUCUGUCCAACCCUUUUUUUAAAAAAAAUUGAUGCGCCCCACCCCAAUUCUCUCUAUGCGGAAAUUCUCCCUCUUCCCUCUCUCGACCGAAGCUUCAUUUAUUUUCACCGUAAAUUGGCCGGCGCCGGAGAAGAUGGACCAACCGGAUGAGGGUCCUCCUGUUUUGUUGAGACCGGACACAAUUAAUUCAACGUGGGACGUUGGCACAUAUUAUAAAAUAAAGUAUCUUAGCAAGGUAAAAUCUGUUUUGAAUCUGCAAACCAAUCAAAUCCUGCCAUUUGAUGUGCAAUGGACUCAUCCAACGAAACAUGCGAUGGAUUCUGCUCAUAAGUGGAUGCACUAGGUAUAUCCAUGGAAGGUCGGUAUACAUCACGCUGCGACGAAUAAUUCCUUCCAUUGUCAGUCACAAAAACUUGUGGCUCGACCUCAUUGGUGCAUAACACCCGAAGUUGAUCAUCAUUAAUUAACAAGGAACGAAUCAGCCGACCACUGCGAGUUCUUGACAAAUAAUAAAGAUCAUAGUUUGGAUUCAAGGAGUUUGCCACCAAAUAAUAAUUAAUACUUUGCCGCAACUCUAGAAUAUUUAUAUUAUCGGCUCGAACAUAGCAAAAGGUAGCACUGCCACCAUUAUAAAGAUUAUCAUUCCAAUA